UGAGGAAUAUUGGGCAAUGCCCGAAAGGGUGACCCAGCAACGCCGCGUGGAGGAUGAAGGUCGUAAGAUUGUAAACUCCUGUUAGAGGGGAAGAAUAACUAAGUUUGGAGCUUAGUAUGACUGUACCCUCAGAGAAAGCCCCGGCUAACUACGUGCCAGCAGCCGCGGUAAUACGUAGGGGGCAAGCGUUGUCCGGAUUUACUGGGUGUAAAGGGCGCGCAGGCGGAAUGGAAAGUAAGUGGUGAAAUCCUACAGCUUAACUGUAGAACUGCCUUUGAUACUUUCAUUCUUGAGUUCGGGAGAUAGAGACGGAAUUCCAGGUGUAGUGGUGAAAUACGUAGAUAUCUGGAAGAACACCAGUUGCGAAGGCGGUCUCUUUGUCCGAUACUGACGCUGAGGCGCGAAAGCGUGGGGAGCAAACAG
rnacentral:rRNA from 1 species